GUCAUUGGUACUCAUAAAUAAACAGGGUGUCCGCUGAUAAGGUAUGGAAUAGAGGCACAAAGGGGUUUCUGAUGCCGACGAUUCGGAGCCAGGAGCAGUGACCAGGACAGGAGGACAUUGAAUGUCAUUACACCACGUACACCAUCGGGUCGAUGUCUAGACCAUGGCUCAAAUUCAGGCACGGCACGUUUAGACCUUAUUUCAUACCGUCCUCUUUGAUUUGCUGCCGCAUCUCUGGAGAAAAAGCCCCUACGUAUCCGUUUCCAAUUUAAACAAACAGUUCAAUUUCUCCUUGAUGAAAGUGGGAAACCCUAAAAGGCUUAUAUAUAAAAUUCAAUGAGCAAGAAGAUGGUUUUACAUUCCUCUAAGAAUCAGAUGAUUAACAGUGAUAUUUCAUCAUCUUUGAUCGUUGUAAUCAGUAACCCUGAUUUGUUAAGACAGGUUCUAUUGUGUGUACCUGUCGAGUCUCUACUUGUAUUCAAAUCUGUUUCGAAACAAUGGUACAGCCUCAUCUCUGAUUUUGAUUUUGUCAAGGAACAUUUGCUUCACAGUCGCCCUUCAGUUCCUGGAUUUUACCUGCAGCAAUUGUCUCCUUGGGAGGACCCAGAAUUUGAGUUCAUUUUCUUGGAAGGUAACAUCCCUAGUAGUAUCCCAUUACGAACACAAGCGGAUUUCUCAAAUGGAGGGCUCACAGUUACAGGGAUUGAACAAUCUUGUAAUGGUCUGCUCUUACUAUGUUGCUAAAGUUCCAUUGACGGUAAGUAUUAUAUCUGCAAUCCGUCUACAAAACGUUACUCAGUUAUUCCUAAAGAUAUAAAGAGUAGUUGGGAGGUGAGUAUUUGUAGCGUGAGUUUAGCUUUUGAUCCAUUGAAGUCACCUCAUUACAAAGUUGUUUGCAUUUGGAGAAACGAGAUAGAUAAUUUUGUGAUUGAAAUCUAUUGUUCGAGAAAGGCCAGUUGGAGGCUCUCUGGAAAUCCUGUUGCUGCUGCACCUUAUGAUGUGUUUUACAAGCCUGGUGUGUUUUGGAAUGGUUCAUUGCAUUGGAUGAGCACAAAUUGUGAUUCCAGUAACUUGAGUGAAUCUUCUGUUUAUUUCGACGUUGAUAGAGAACAACUAAGGAGAAUGCCAGUGCCACCUGCACCCGAAAAAUGGUAUAGAAGAGUGAUUGAAUAUUUUGGAGAAUGCAAGGGGAAAUUACAUGUUAUUCAAAAUUAUCUUCCAAGUACUACAACAAGUUUAGAUGUUUUGGAGAUGGAUAUUGAUUACAGAUGUUGGAUGCUAAAAUACCGUGUCACACUAGAUCAGUUGUCAAUAAUACAUCCACACGAUAUUGUAGAUGACCAGGGUUUGUUCAAAUUCUCUGUAUUGCUUAUCGAGGAAGAAAAAGAUUUGUCAAAGUUAGUGGUGCUAAUACAAGAAAGAGUUGUUGCAUUUGAUCUUAUGAAAUUUGAGUUCAAAAUAAUCCAUGGAACUAUUCAGCGGUAUCCAGGAUCCCCAUGGUUUAAAGCUCAUCAGUAUAUUGAAUCACUCGCUUUCGUUUGAUAAUUUUUGUCAGUUUGGUGACAGUACAAGUUUCUUCAGGUUGAAGUACUCUACACUGUCUGAUCUAAUGUCCCUCGUUUUACUUACAAAGCUGAUUGUCGAUGAUGUUGAUUAGAAGUUAUAAUGUGUGAUUAACUUAUGGGUUCCCAUCAACAACGGUUCUGGUAAUUAGAAAGGUGAUCAAAGCUUGCAGAUUUGAAUGAGGGACAGGGAGACAAAGAUAUGAAACAUCCUGCACAUAUAUGGGAAGUAUGUGGCUGGGAGAAAGAUAGAGAUGGAAGGAGGAGGCUAGAAGUUAUCGAAGUUGCAUAAAUUUGGAUUUGUGCAGUGUUUCUCAUGAGUGAGUGUGAAAGGCGCUACAGCUGAGCAACAGAAUUAAGGUUAGGGUUUCUGUAGCUAUACCUGGAGAGCAGCUUCGCGAAAAUGAAGGGAUCGGUUGUAUAUGGUAAACAGAACUAGGAAGAUUUGAGAGUUCUUGAUGCAGGGGAUGGUAUUGGGUGUAGAGGGUUGGUACACAACUUCGAAGCAGUUGGGUAAAUCUGAGUUCUUAUGCUGUCCUCUUUUUAUUGGCCAGAGCUGAGAGUUGAUUCUUGCAGUUAAUGCUGUUUGUCUUUUGAUUGUUCUGCCUCUGCAGAUGAUUGGUGGUUGUAUCCUAGUUAUGGAUCGCUGCCACCUAAUUGGUGGGUUUUCAUGCCAAUUUACUUAGUUCGUUCUUCUGUGAUUGUGCUGUUCCAGUUUGGAACUGGGACAUCUCUGUAUUUCUUUGGACUUUGGCUAUAAAUGGACUAUUUUUGU